rnacentral:rRNA from 1 species
UACAGAGGGGGCAAGCGUUGCUCGGAAUUACUGGGCGUAAAGGGCGCGUAGGCGGCCUUCUAAGUCGAACGUGAAAUCCCUGGGCUCAACCCAGGAACUGCGUCCGAUACUGGAAGGCUUGAAUCCGGGAGAGGGAUGCGGAAUUCCAGGUGUAGCGGUGAAAUGCGUAGAUAUCAGGAGGAACACCGGUGGCGAAGGCGGUUCUCUGGGCAUUACCUGACGCUGAGGAGCGAAAGCAUGGGGAGCGAACAGG